AGUAACAUCCGGAAACGGGUGCUAAUACCGCAUAGUUUUCUUGAUCGCAUGAUCGGGAAAGGAAAGACGGCCUUUGUGCUGUCGCUUAUGGAUGGACCCGCGGCGUAUUAGUUAGUUGGUGAGGUAACGGCUCACCAAGACGAUGAUACGUAGCCGACCUGAGAGGGUGAUCGGCCACAUUGGGACUGAGACACGGCCCAAACUCCUACGGGAGGCAGCAGUAGGGAAUCUUCCGCAAUGGACGAAAGUCUGACGGAGCAACGCCGCGUGAGUGAAGAAGGUUUUUUCCGGAUCGUAAAACUCUGUUGUCAGAGAAGAACAAGUUGGAGAGUAACUGCUCCAGCCUUGACGGUAUCUGACCAGAAAGCCACGGCUAACUACGUGCCAGCAGCUGC
rnacentral:rRNA from 1 species